GAUGAACGCUAGCUACAGGCUUAACACAUGCAAGUCGAGGGGAAACGACAUCGAAAGCUUGCUUUUGAUGGGCGUCGACCGGCGCACGGGUGAGUAACGCGUAUCCAACCUGCCCAUCACUUGGGAAUAACCUUGCGAAAGUAAGACUAAUACCCAAUGAUAUCCCACGAAGGCAUCGGAAUGGGAUUAAAGAUUUAUCGGUGAUGGAUGGGGAUGCGUCUGAUUAGCUUGUUGGCGGGGUAACGGCCCACCAAGGCAACGAUCAGUAGGGGUUCUGAGAGGAAGGUCCCCCACAUUGGAACUGAGACACGGUCCAAACUCCUACGGGAGGCAGCAGUGGGGAAUAUUGGUCAAUGGGCGAGAGCCUGAACCAGCCAAGUAGCGUGCAGGAAGACGGCCCUAUGGGUUGUAAACUGCUUUUAUAAGGGAAUAAAGUGGGUCACGUGUGACUUUUUGCAUGUACCUUAUGAAUAAGGACCGGCUAAUUCCGUG
rnacentral:rRNA from 1 species